rnacentral:lncRNA from 1 species
AGAGCAGGAAAGCGCUAUGGCAGAAUAGAGAAAAGGGGAGAAGGGAGAGAGGGAGAAGAUAAGCGGAGUUAGUGAAAAAGGGGAGUGUAUGUGCCAGAGUGGUCUAACCCCUUAAGAAAAAGGCCUGUAGAAGAAAACGGAGACUGUCAUCAGUCCAUUUUUCUUUAUACAUUUCUGGCCACCCUCUCCCCGCCGCCCUCUGUGGGUCGAACCGCGGAACCCUCUGUGAUUGGUGCUCCAGAUUCUGAAAACAGAUGCACUUUUAAACAUUGAGAUAAAGCAGCGACGACUUGACACUUUUGCCUUUGGGCCUGAGACUUCCCAAGUACAGACUCGGAGCAGUGGACAAGGUGCACUCCGCCGGUAAGAUUGGCGCAAGGGUUCACAGAUCCUGCUCCCCGCUGUCAGGAAGGAGACACCCCGAACGCCCCCCGCCCCCAACACCCGGGAAGGGACUCCAACUCCGUCCAGCUGUCCCCACCCAGGGUUCUCCGCACCCUCCUGCCCCCGUUCUGCGUCUUGCAGGGGAAAGGUGGAAGGAUGAGAUUGACCGUUUGUCCUUUAGAAUAGAUGCGUGUCCCGGGCAACCGUGGCACGUGCAGAAAAACAAAAUUCUAAGAAGGGAUCAUCAGAGAGCUUAACUGCCUCACUGGCACAGCUGUGUAAGGAUGUUUUCCCAAAGUGGGAUGAUGGUAACAACUGUAGCUUGAAUUCUACUUGAAUAGAGUUGAAAGUCUUCGAAAGAUUUGGAGCCAUUCUGGUUUUUUUUUUUUUUUCUGAGAAGCACGGAAGAACUGAUGGGGAUGAGGCUCCUGGACUCAGUGGGAAAGCAGAGGUACAGAUGGUGCACUUGGCGCUGCAUAAACUGUCACUGGAGCCUGAAGACUUUGAAGAAAAGAAGCCAUUACUAUCAUUGUAGGGAUACUGCCAUUCCGCCAGCCAGCCAGACCAGGAGCGGAGGCCACCUGGUGGCCGCGCCUUGUCAGUGCCACAGACCUUCCACCCCGACAACACCUGAGUACAGGUGGAUCCUGUGGGCCCGAGACAUCCGAAGUCAGCGAGAGCGGGACAGGUUGGGUGGCCCCGAUGCCAUGUGUUGGCCACUUCCGUGUAGACCUGGCCUCCCUGAGAACCUACCUUCAGGCACCCAACUUCGGAGGAGCUGAGAGCGCGGCACAGAGACCUGUAGCUACCCUGAGCUUCCCUCCUUGGGCCAAAAUCUUCCUGUCCCUAAGCAGGGACCAGGAGGCAGAAAGCAAGCCCUACUUAAGGGGUGGCAGGAAAUGGCCUUCCCAAAGCUGAAUAGGAAAGUCCCACUGAGACUUGAUAAAUCCAGAGUCUGGACUGCGCACUAUUACACCACGGAACCUAUAAAAACGGCCUUGCUGUUCAGAUUAUCAGAGUUGUGUAUGUAAGCAUAUGCCAUCC